rnacentral:rRNA from 1 species
GACGAACGCUGGCGGCGUGCUUAACACAUGCAAGUCGAACGGAAAGGCCCCUUUGGGGGUACUCGAGUGGCGAACGGGUGAGUAACACGUGAGUAACCUGCCCUUGACUUCGGGAUAACUUCAGGAAACUGGGGCUAAUACCGGAUAGGAAUCCUUGCUGCAUGGUGGGGGUUGGAAAGCUUCGGCGGUUUUGGAUGGACUCGCGGCUUAUCAGCUUGUUGGUGGGGUAGUGGCUUACCAAGGCUUUGACGGGUAGCCGGCCUGAGAGGGCGACCGGCCACAUUGGGACUGAGAUACGGCCCAGCCUCCUACGGGAGGCAGCCGUGGGGAAUAUUGCACAAUGGGCGGCAGCCUGAUGCAGCAACGCCGCGUGCGGGAUGACGGCCUUCGGGUUGUAAACCGCUUUCAGCAGGGGCGAAGCUUGUGGUGACGGUACCUGCAGAAGAAGCACCGGCUAACUACGUG